rnacentral:rRNA from 1 species
UACGGAGGGUGCAAGCGUUGCUCGGAAUUACUGGGCGUAAAGGGCGUGUAGGCGGUUUCGUAUGUCUGGCGUGAAAGCCCCGGGCUCACCUCGGGAAGUGCGUCGGAAACUGCGAGACUAGAGUCCCGGAGAGGGGGGUGGAAUUCCAGGUGUAGCGGUGAAAUGCGUAGAUAUCUGGAAGAACACCGGUGGCGAAGGCGGCCUCCUGGACGGUGACUGACGCUGAGACGCGAAAGCGUGGGGAGCAAACAGG